UCUAGCCUGGGCAAGAGAGUUAGACUCUGUCUCAAAUAAAAAAAAAAGAAAAGGAAGUUUCUUUUUCAUAAUCGAAAAGCACUCAUUGAGCAGUUAAUAAUGUUCUAUGGGUUAAAAACCAAUAAUAUUGCUUAGAUUUGAGUUCUAGCCUCUGAUUCAUCAUGUGGAGAUGGUAAAAUAAAAAUUUCAAGUUGUGUCUGAUUUGUUAGAGAGAUAAAUGUGUAAAAAUCAUCUUAGUGAUAUAAAGCUGUCGAAACAGUGAUUUAAGAUUUCACUAUUUCUCCUUCCUAUUCUGCCUUCCAGGUUCUUUUGAAGUGAGUGGAGCCCAAGUCAUGGAACGAAUGAAUCAGUGAUGGACACAUGCAUGUAUAUGUGUGCAGACAGACAUACACAUGCUACCUUCUAUGACGCCCAGGUCAUAGAAGGUCAAUGCGAAUGACAGGAACAUGUUUGUCUUGGCCCCGAAGUAGGCAAUGAUAAUCAACACACGAAACCUAAUGUUGAGAAGGGAUUUAGGAAAAACAAAGUAAUUAAGGCAUUAGGAUAAGCAUUUAGACAUUUCAGUUUACCUGUUUCGGUCUAUCAGUGUGAGGAUUGGGAUGUGGAGUUUCAUUUUCCUACUGCUGUACAUUUGCACGUCCUCAUUGGCAUGGACAGCAGCACCUGUGCUCAGAGAGAACGAAGACAUGAACAUGCUGACAUUUUAAAAUCAGCAUUAGGAGCACCAUUCAGAAAGAGAUAUAGUUUAGUUAUGCAUAAGCUCAUGAAAUAGAGCUACAGAAAUAAGUUUUUAUCACAGUAUAAUGUGCAAUAUGUUUAUACUACAAAUUGUAAAACAAUUGUGAUUUUUAAUAAUAUCUAAUCAUUCAUAAUAUUCCUCCCACAGUUGCAUUCAAUCAAAGUAGUAUUAUCUGCUUUCUAUUUUAUCAAUUCUAUACACCACAACUUGUUAUAAUUUAACUCAGUUUCAGAAAUUAUAUUUUUCACAUCAAGAGAGACCUGUAUGUGUAAUUUUUCUCUGAGGAAAGAAAACUGAAUUUUUUAGAGCUGCCAGUUGUCCAAUUUUGAACCAGGCUGUCUGAUAUUUCAGCUUUUACACUGUAAGCAAAUUUGAGAAAAUUACAUAUUCUUAUGCCAAGUGUGUUCUAAUUAAGUAACCUUCCUUGGGAUAGUGCAUCACCUGGGCAUUCUCAGCCAUUCACUAAUCCCCUGUUGGUGUUCCUGGGUGACUGGCCAAGCCCGGUAUAACCUGAGUUUAAAUUCUCACUCACUGCUGGUCCCUACCAGGAAACAGGCAGUCCUGGGAGAGAGCAAUGUGUUCUCUUCCUCAAGCUGUGAUUCACUAGAGAAAUUUUUCCUUUUUCUAAUAGAUGGCAAGACUGUUUUGUGGUAAAGAAUGAGUGAUAAUUUUGUUAAAAAAAAAAAAAAAAGACAAGUUGCAUAAAUCUUUCAUUUUUUGGCCAGAAGUUUAACAGGUUUUCUUUAAUUAAAAAAAAUUAAUGUUCUUUUUAGUAUUUUCUUAUGAAUGUCAAAUAUCUGCCGGUGCUGGUUAAAUUAGAGGUGCACGUAGCUCUGCUCCUGGGCUUCUGUGCCAAAGAUUCACACCUCACUGCACAGGGAAGCAGUGCGAGGCGUUUUGUGGUGUUAUUCCCGGGGAUGGGGAGUGGAGAAGAGGUGGCUGUCUGUCUCAGGGUGAGUGGACUGGUGACGUGGUGCUCCGUGGCACUGAGGAGCAGUAAGUGAGCUGCGUACGUGGCAAUAAGGUAAUUGGAAAAGCAUGGGGCCGAGUUUAAAACAUAAACAGAAUAUGCAGCACAAUUCCUUUUAGGUAAAUUAAAAUGCCAUCAAUACCAACAUUGUUUCUUUUAAACACAUUAGAAUGGCUGCCUAUGGGGCAAGGUAAAUGCGGGUGAUACUGAGGUAUAGAAGGGAGAAGCCCAUAAAUCUACACAUCCAUAGAACCAGAGACAAGCUCACAUGGGCCAGUGAUGACUGUAUGGUAUAAAGAGGACACCUAACUUCUGAACCUCAGGCUGGAAAAACUCAAACCAUGCAUGAAGGCAGAAGGCACAGAGUGAAACAUGCACCUGUCUUAUUUUGCACACUGGCCUAAUUCCAGUUUCUAGAGGUAGCAACUGUUAGCAGUUUGAAACCAUUUGUUGUGCAGUGUUCCAGACCUGUCUCUGUGCAUGUACAAAGUCUGAUUUUGGUUUUAUGAAACUGAGAUGCUAUGCCUAUGGCUCUGCACUUUGCUUUUUUCACUUACACACAAUUUCGUAUCCAUCCAUCAAUCAUCUCUAUCAUCCAUCUAUCUAGCAUCUGUUUAUUAUUCAUAUUGAUAUCAUCUAUCAAUCAUCUAUCAAUAUCUCCAUCAUCCACCAGUCUAUCUUCUAUCUAUAAUUGUCCUCCCAUGCCUAUACAUGUGGAUGAACUUCUUCGCUACUUCUUUCUCUUACACCUUCUUCCUUCAUUUUUUCUUUUUUGGAUUCUAUUUAUUGAUAACAGGAAACCAAUUUGAAAUAUGAGAAAAUUUGGCCAACUCCAUUUCUCACAUUUCCUAUUUUUGCCUUCCAAUUUUGUUAGUAGUGCUAUUGUUUUUACCAUGCCGAUGUUUGUAGCAUUUACCUUCCCUUCCAAACGUGGCUGAUGUGGUUCCUUAGCCUUACCUGGGUCCUUGGCCGACUCCUUGCACACUUGCGGCUGUGGCCCAGCACACUUCUUCAGCACUGUCUUCUGGCCUUGACUGUUGCUAUGGAAACUGCUGAGUCAGCCUGCAUUUUCUCCCUUGCCUGAGACUUGCUCCUUCUGCCUGAAUCGUAGCAGGAUUCUUUCAUUUCCCUCAGAGAUAAAUAACUUCACCACGGAAUGUCUAAAUGUCGAUCAGCCUUUAUGUUUUGCUCAAGGCUGCCCAUGUCACAGACUCAGAUUUCAGCAGCACAAAUUCUACACUCAUUGCUUCUAACACGGCCUUAGUUUCUGUCAUGACGGGGGCACCCUGGAUCCGGAAGCCUGCUGUUGGAAUCUGGAGAAAUUCAUGGGAAGUUUGAUGGUGGCAAGGAGAGAAAAGUUCUGUGAGCCGUCAUUGGGCACUGCUGGCAUCCUUGGAGGCGCUCACCGUGAGGAAGCCAGGACAAGUGAGACGUGCAGGAGCAGGGCAGCCUCCUGAGGUCCUGUCCCCGACGGAUCUCAGGGAGGGCAGAUCUGUUUGUCCGCUCAAGAGCCAGACUUCCUCCUCCUUUGUUAGCAGAAGCCAAAUGUUAUGGUGAUGGUAGUGUGCCUGCCACCACGGUGUAAGUUGUGACUGCUCUGUGCUGGCAGCUCUGUUUCUCUUUGCCAGCCAUGGGUGGGCGUUGACCCAGUCCUGCUACUGAGAUCUAACCAAAGGUUGGUUGGAAGAAAGAUUUUUCUCUGAGAUUUAAAGCUGCUUGAGGAGAAGCCAUUUGACUCCUACUAUCUGACUAUUUUUUUUUAUUCCAGCAUAAUAUGGGAGUACAAAUGACGAAUGUUUAGGGUGCAUAUAUUGCC